UACAGAGGUCUCAAGCGUUGUUCGGAUUCAUUGGGCGUAAAGGGUGUGUAGGUGGCGCGACUAAGUCGGGUGUGAAAUUUCGGAGCUUAACUCCGAAACUGCAUUCGAUACUGGACGUGCUUGAGGACUGGAGAGGAGACUGGAAUUCGAUGGUGUAGCAGUGAAAUGCGUAGAGAUCAUGAGGAAGACCAGUGGCGAAGGCGGGUCUCUGGACAGUUCCUGACGCUGGAGGCAACGAAGGCCAGGGGACGCAAACGGG
rnacentral:rRNA from 1 species